GCUUCAGGAACAGAAGGCAGAAUUCAGGAUGACUUCCACCAUGUCCUGGUCCUGUCUCCUCCUCACAUUCUUUGUUCAGUGUUCAGGGUCCUGGGCCCAGUCUGUGCUGAUACAACCGCCCUCACUAUCUGGAUCUCCAGGAGAGAGGCUCACCAUCUCCUGCACUGGAAGCAGCACCAAUAUUGGGGGUGGCUAUAAUGUGCACUGGUAUCAGCAGCUCCCAGGAACAGUCCCCAAACUCCUCAUCUAUAGUAAUAGCAAUAGACCCUCAGGGGUCCCGGAUCGAUUCUCUGGCUCCAAAUCUGGCAGCUCUGGAUCACUGACCAUCGCUGGACUCCAGCCUGAGGAUGAGGCUGACUAUUUCUGUCAGUCUUAUGACGACAGCCUCGAUGCUAACACAGUGCUCCAGUCUCAUGGGGAAAUAAGACAAGAACCCCUUUACCAUCUGCCAGGAGCACAAUCACCAAGCAGCAUUGCUCAGGCCUGGCCCUUGACUGCAGCUGCUACCACUGCUGUAGGCCCAGCUGAAUCUGCUGGCACUUUGUUGAGUGAGGAGCCUCUUCUCUGUCCUCAGAGUCAUUCACAGCAGCAUGCUCCUAGGAAAAUGUCUCCAUAUAAACAGGAAUUCCUGCUCCUCUGUAGCUCAAGGUGUUGA